GACGAACCGUGCGAACGUUAUUCGGAAUCACUGGGCUUAAAGCGCGUGUAGGCGGGACGGCACGUCUGUCGCUGAAAUCCCCCGGCUCAACCGGGGAACGGGCGCGGAUACGUCCGUCCUGGAGGGGCGUAGGGGGACCUGGAACUUCCGGUGGAGCGGUGAAAUGCGUUGAGAUCGGAAGGAACGCCCGUGGCGAAAGCGAGGUCCUGGACGCUUACUGACGCUGAGACGCGAAAGCCAGGGGAGCGAACGGG
rnacentral:rRNA from 1 species